GGUGUUAGUUGAGCUUUACUGGUAAAACAUUUGGGUGAUGAUACCAAAAGUCUGGGGUUCAAAUCCCGCCAGCAUUA